UUAAAAUUUAGUACGCCAGUAAACAAUUGGGAAUCAAUCUAACCACGCAAUAAUUGCAACAGCCAAUGCGGUUCUAAGCAUCAAGCGUCUCCUUUCGGACGUUGGUAAAUCAAUAAGUUUCAAGCGGUUCUCGUGGGACGGAGGAACUUCAGCCGAAUUCCAUGAAUGGAUUCCAAAUCACACAACCAUACUCCAAUGUACGGCCAGACUAAGCUGGUAAACAAAAGUUUGGUCACAUAAGGAUCAUUAAACUCCUUGGACUACAGUUUUAUAAAACCCAACAAAUACUUCGUCUAAUUGAUAACCGAGUCAAAUUAAAACGUAAUCUUCCAUCCAAAAUUACACAAAGAUCAGUAAAGAAAUCUACUUUAUUCAAUUAAUAAGAAUCUAUAUAAUGGUCAUAUAGAACAGGUCUAGCCCUGAAAAGCGAUAACAUCUCGCAUUUCUAAAGAUUAAGCGCCAUGACUUUAACACUCCAACUGUCCACCAGAGAGUGCCGAUUGGCCUGCUAGCACAGUGACUACUCCGAAGAAUCCAAAUUACAAUAUAGUAGCACAUCAUCUGCGAACAUUAAAAUCCUUGAAGACUGAAUAACUGAUGCAAGAUCAUUCAAGUAAAGAACGAACAGCAAUGGACCUCAAUGGCUGCCCUGUGGAACACCAGAAUAAGCAGCUAUAUCCUUGGAAAGAAUAUAAUUAAGUAAACUUUCUGCGUACGGCCUUGUAAAUAAAAAGUUUGCCAAUUCAAAUUAACUGAAGGGAAAUCCAUCAUGUCAAGUUUAAACAGUAAUAAAUCGUGCGCCACAUCUGUUUAAAAAACAAUCUUAUACAUGGCACGUCACUUCCAAUAGUUUGGUCAAAGUCCUCCUACCCCUAAUAAAGCAUUGCCCUUAAUUCUUCAUUAUAAAUCUGCUACUAUUUCUAUAAAAAGGAAUUAUAUAACUUGACCUCCAGUAAUGAGGAAUAAUCCUGAAAAUGGCGAAUCGUUGAAUAUGGCCGAAGGGUUGGUAUUCUAUUCUUCUUUCAGACAGCAAUCAAAUGUUUUUGUUUCCAUACCAAAACACGUUUCUUUAUCGGCAGUUAUUGUUUUCAUUAUUUAAUAUCAUUUUUUGCAAAUAAAUAUUUAAAAAUUA